AAUCAACGCUGGCGGCGUGCCUCAGACAUGCAAGUCGAACGAUUAAAGCUCCCUUCGGGGAGUGCAUAGAGUGGCGCACGGGUGAGUAACACGUAAGUAAUCUACCUUUGAGUGGGGAAUAACGUUCGGAAACGGACGCUAAUACCGCAUAAUGCAGCGGCAUCGCAAGAUGACAGCUGUUAAAGGAGCAAUCCGCUUAAAGAGGAGCUUGCGGCAGAUUAGCUUGUUGGUAAGGUAACGGCUUACCAAGGCUACGAUCUGCAUCCGGUCUAAGAGGACGGUCGGACACACUGACACUGAAUAACGGGUCAGACUCCUACGGGAGGCAGCAGUCGGGAAUUUUGGCAAUGGGCGAAAGCCUGACCCAGCAACGCCGCGUGAAGGAUGAAGUAUUUCGGUAUGUAAACUUCGAAGAAUAGGAAGAAUAAAUGACGGUACUAUUUAUAAGCUCCGGCUAACUA
rnacentral:rRNA from 1 species